CCUACGGGAGGCAGCAGUGAGGAAUAUUGGUCAAUGGACGAGAGUCUGAACCAGCCAAGUAGCGUGAAGGAUGACUGCCCUAUGGGUUGUAAACUUCUUUUAUAUGGGAAUAAAAUGUUCCACGUGUGGGAUUUUGUAUGUACCAUAUGAAUAAGGAUCGGCUAACUCCGUGCCAGCAGCCGCGGUAAUACGGAGGAUCCGAGCGUUAUCCGGAUUUAUUGGGUUUAAAGGGAGCGUAGGUGGAUUGUUAAGUCAGUUGUGAAAGUUUGCUGCUCAACCGUAAAAUUGCAGUUGAAACUGGCAGUCUUGAGUACAGUAGAGGUGGGCGGAAUUCGUGGUGUAGCGGUGAAAUGCUUAGAUAUCACGAAGAACUCCGAUUGCGAAGGCAGUUCACUGGACUGCAACUGACACUGAGGCUCGAAAGUGUGGGUAUCAAACAGGAUUAGAUACCCGAGUAGUC
rnacentral:rRNA from 1 species